UACAGAGGUCCCAAGCGUUGUUCGGAUUCACUGGGCGUAAAGGGUGCGUAGGUGGUCGGGUAAGUCUGAUGUGAAAUCUCCGGGCCUAACCCGGAAACUGCAUCGGAUACUAUUCGGCUAGAGGGUUGGAGGGGGACUGGAAUACUUGGUGUAGCAGUGAAAUGCGUAGAUAUCAAGUGGAACACCAGUGGCGAAGGCGGCUCUCUGGGCCCUACCUGACGCUGAGACGCGAAGCGUGGGAGCGAACCGG
rnacentral:rRNA from 1 species